CCCCUAGACGUUCUGGGCUGCACGCGCGCUACAAUAAUACGCACAGCGAGUAUCACCGAGCUCGAAAGGGCAAGGUAAACAAUAGAAAAGGUACUGUAAUGGUUAUAGAUCCUUGUAAUUAUUGAUCUUCAACGAGGAAUUCCUAGUAAGUAUGUGUCAUCAUCACGCACUGAUUACGUCCCUGCCCUUUGUACACACCGCCCGUCGCUCCUACCGAUUGAGUGAGCCGAUGAAACUGCCGGAUGUGGACUAUUCAUAGUCUGCAGAAGAUAUUUGAAUCGUAGCGCUUAGAGGAAGGAGAAGUCGUANCA
rnacentral:rRNA from 1 species